rnacentral:tRNA from 1 species
GCCGGGGUCGCCUAGCCUGGUAGGGCGUCGGCCUGCUAAGCCGAUGGGGGAUCACCCCGCGCGGGUUCAAAUCCCGCCCCCGGCGCCA